rnacentral:lncRNA from 1 species
GCAAGAUUCUAGUCGGUUAGAAUAGGAAUUGAUAUCGUGUUAUCUAUGACAAUUGUAACCGACUAGGAUUAGUUUCCAUAUCUGUAACCCUGCCCUCUGGACUAUAUAAAGAGAGGCAAGGGACCCCCCUUAGACAACUCAACUCGACACAAUUCGAUACACAGCAAUACAAUCAAACGCAGGACGUAGGUAUUACGCUCACACGGCGGCCGAACCUGAAUAAAAUCCUUAUCUGUGUCUUGCGUCAUCAUCAAGUUCGUAGCUUGUGCACCUCUCUACCGAUAAACUACAACCGUGGUAUACUCUGCCGACUAGCUGAGCUCGUUGCCAUCUUAAGACCCCACCACCGCGUGGGCGAGGACACGAGGUCCUAUAGCUGAGGUCAUCGCGGCGUACGCGUGGUCCUGCACGGGAGGCAUAGGGAGGUCACUGGUGUCGUGCAAGGCACGGGGCUCAGCACCGAGGAGGUGCAGGCAAGAUGAGAACAAAAAAAUAAGAAAAAUGAUAAAUAUACCCCCACAUGUCAGUAGUGAUUUCAUUUUUUAUGUCACUGGACUGGACAGGAAAUGGGUUGGUCCCAUCCUCAUCAACUAAAUAGAAAUUGGAGUUAGUCCUGUCAUCGUCCCAUGCAGAAACAUAGAGACUGGACCAUCUCACCCCACAUGGACUCCCAACCAAAUACAUUAGAUUCGUUUGUGUAAAAAGACAUAAUGAUGUUAAGUUUUAGUAAAGGGGGAACAAAAAGGGCCAUUAGAAGGUAAAGAAAAGGGGGAAAUG